UCUGCGGUCUUCUCCUUUUGCUCUGUAUGUGCGUAAUGCGCAGUUUGGUCCCACACUCUCCACUCCUUGCAGCGCAGCUGACUGCUUGGUCCAGGGGAGGCGGGAGUGGCUCGCUGGAGCCUCGCUGUGUUCAGCUACUGGUCCGCUCUGGCCGUGUGUGUUUAAAGCUGCGUCCUGUGAGGCUCGCAUUCACUGGUUGUUUAUGUUCGCUGUGCAUGCCUGGCACCCCUGGUGCUGGUGGCUGACGGCGGCAGUUUGACCCCUGGUGGUGGUGCAUUCUUCACAAACCCCCUCCCUUUUUUGUUGUGUGUGUGUGCAGUGUCACGGGUGGUUUAUUUUGAGGAUCCCUUCUCCCUUUUUGGUUUCUGCCGCAUGGUAAGCCUCAGCCCUGACCUUAUUCCCCUCCCCUGUCCAAGUGCCUAUUUUAUAUUAUGUGUGGUGUGUGACAUAUUGCUUCUUUUCUUUUGUAUAAUUUAGUUUAAUAAAGUUUGUUUGUUUUUAAAAUUA